GUCCACGGCCACACCGCCCUGUGUGUGCCCCAUCUGGUCUGGUCUCGGAAGCAAAGCAGGGUCAGGUCUGGUUAGUACUUGGAUGGGAGAAACAGGAUAACGCGGUCA
rnacentral:rRNA from 1 species